rnacentral:rRNA from 1 species
UACGAAGGGGGCUAGCGUUGUUCGGAAUUACUGGGCGUAAAGCGCACGUAGGCGGAUCUUUAAGUCAGGGGUGAAAUCCCGAGGCUCAACCUCGGAACUGCCUUUGAUACUGGGGAUAUCGAGUCCGGGAGAGGUGAGUGGAACUGCGAGUGUAGAGGUGAAAUUCGUAGAUAUUCGCAAGAACACCAGUGGCGAAGGCGGCUCACUGGCCCGGUACUGACGCUGAGGUGCGAAAGCGUGGGGAGCAAACAGG